rnacentral:snRNA from 1 species
GCAAAUCGUUCGUCUGACUUGGG